GUUAAGUUGGCAGAAAAGUGCACUAGACUUAGGAUCUAAGAAUAAGGGGAGUCCCUUACUUAAUA
rnacentral:tRNA from 1 species